UACGUAGGGGGCGAGCGUUAUCCGGAUUCAUUGGGCGUAAAGCGCGCGUAGGCGGCCGCCUAAGCGGAACCUCUAAUCCCGGGGCUCAACCUCGGGCCGGGUUCCGGACUGGGCGGCUCGAGUGCGGUAGAGGCAGGCGGAAUUCCCGGUGUAGCGGUGGAAUGCGCAGAUAUCGGGAAGAACACCGAUGGCGAAGGCAGCCUGCUGGGCCGACACUGACGCUGAGGCGCGAAAGCUGGGGGAGCGAACAGG
rnacentral:rRNA from 1 species